GAAAUAUUCUUUUGUACGCCCGGUUCACCAGGUUCUACCAAUAGUACAAUGGCAGCUUGAAUGAUUCGUUCAUGUAUCAAUUACAUUAUUCACUUCCUCUCUUUCGCAGUCGAGUUCCUAAAGGACCUUGGCUCAACAGCGCAAGCAAGAUAAAUUGCCUCUAUUUGAUGUCGAUUCAUCCAGACUUCCAUUACUUCAAAUUUACUGUAUUUAAUGUCGAUUCACCCAGACUUCCAUUCUUUGUAGAGGUCGCUUUAGCUUGCCGGCUGGGAGCUGUAUGAGCGGUAACGUCCAAGUACGGCUCUGUGAGAAGGGCGGUGGACAGAAAUGGCCUUGUUGUACCUCACUCCCGUCUUCAAUGGGGUCUGCUCUUUCUUUUUUGGGAGAGUAUGCCAAUAUGAUCUUAAUGAGGUGCGAGGCUUUGCAUCUGACAUUCGUAGGGCCGGGAGCCUGCAAUAAAUCCCUCCGGCCGGAUAUGACACUAGUGGUAGGUGGUCCCGCGGAGCUUUCGGAGAAGGGUAGCCUAGUGUGUAAGCACAGCAAUGAACCGCGGCGAACCCCCAGACGACCUAUCUAAGAUUAGGGGGAGAUCCUCAGUAGUUGGUGACCCUAUCACUCUUCCACGGAACCUCACUGAUACAAGUACCGAAUGCUCAUACGGGAAAUCCGACCUUUCUUUCUAGUCUACUCAGGGGGGUGCAGACACACCUGCGCGGAUGACAGGUGACGGUUACAAGAAUGGCGGGGAAGUGAAGAGUACCCGACGACAUUCAGGGAAGGAUGUAGACCCAUCGGACAGGGAUAAUCAUUCCGGUCCUGGAAGAGGUGGCGACACCAGUCUGAGCUGUAUGAGUCACUGAAACGACGGCAGGAGCUGAUCUAUCAAUAGAGGUAGCAGCAGCCCUUUUACAAUAUGAAGAAAGAAAUCAGGGUCGAAGUUUAGACCGCUCACAGUAGUUCUACCUAUAGAAAAGAUCAUGAAAGAGGCGAUCAGAAUGGUACCCGAAUCCAUUUACGAUUCCGAGUUUCCAGACACAUCGCACUUCCGCUCGGGUCGAGGCUGCCACUCGGCCCUAAGACGGAUCAAAGAAGAGUGGGGAACCUCUCGCUGGUUUUUAGAAUUCGACAUCAGGAAGCACAUCAUCGACCGACAUCGACUUAUCCCAAUCUUGAAGGAAGAGAUCGACGAUCCCAAGUUCUUUUAUCACACCCAGAAACUUUUAGGAGCCGGACGCCGAAAAAUGAACGGCCCUGACUCCGUCCCACACAGUGUACUACUAUCGGCCCUACCAGGCAACAUCUACCUACACAAGCUCGAUCAGGAGAUAGGUAGAAUCCAACAUAAAUACGAAAUUUCGAUGAGAAUCAGAUCGGUUCUCUCACAGUUCUCAGGUCGUAUUGAUGACCAAGUUAUAGAAUAAGCAAGCUUUAACGCUCCCCAAGACAACGGAGCCAUCUUUUUGGGGAGGGUCAAGAGCAUCCAACAUAAAGCGGCCUUUCGUUCCCUUGUUUCGUCAUGGCACACACCGCCCACAAGCACCCCCUUUCGCUGGGGGGACCAAAAAACUGGGGGAGCUUCGGCCCUUGCCGCCUUCCUUAACAAUCCCCCUCCCUUCCUUGUAGGACAAGAAAGUAAGAAAACCCCCUUUGUUCGAGUACCCUACGGUCCCUCUCUCUUCCUUUGCUCCGCCGUUCCGAAGGCAGAAUUCUAUGGUAGAGAACGCAAGAAUUCGGCCAUGAGAGACCGCAAUAUCAGCAGAAGGGGCCUGCUAAUAGAGCUGGGUGGAGAGGCGAGACCAGUUAUCAGGUCAGAGAGACGCCUGUCCCGUAAGCCCUUAAAAGACCAUGACUUAAUAAGGAUUUGUUACGUGCGAUAUGCCAACGGCUUACUACUGGGAGUCGUAGGUGCUCUAGAGCUUCUCAUAGAAAUACAAAAACGUCUCACCCACUUCCUACAAUCUGGCCUGAACCUUUGGUCUGCAGGAUCAACAGCAAUAGCUGCACGGAGUACGGUAGAAUUCCCCGGUACGGUCAUUCGGGAAGUAUUAAAAAAGAUCUUCCCGAAUAACCGUACCAUUGGCGAUAGCAGGCCAAGGAUGACCAUUAGGUUCUUCGGUUAA